rnacentral:tRNA from 1 species
AACACAGUGGUCUAGCGGUUAGAACGCUGGCCUUGUAAUCCUGGGGUCUCGGGUUCGAUUCCCGGCGGUGCCC